rnacentral:rRNA from 1 species
UACGUAGGGUGCAAGCGUUGUCCGGAAUUAUUGGGCGUAAAGAGCUCGUAGGCGGUCUGUUGCGUCGGCUGUGAAAACCCGGGGCUCAACUCCGGGCCUGCAGCCGAUACGGGCAGACUAGAGUGCGGUAGGGGAGACUGGAAUUCCUGGUGUAGCGGUGAAAUGCGCAGAUAUCAGGAGGAACACCGGUGGCGAAGGCGGGUCUCUGGGCCGUAACUGACGCUGAGGAGCGAAAGCAUGGGGAGCGAACAGG